UGGGGAAUUUUGGACAAUGGGCGCAAGCCUGAUCCAGCCAUGCCGCGUGCGGGAAGAAGGCCUUCGGGUUGUAAACCGCUUUUGUCAGGGAAGAAAUCCUUUGAGCUAAUACCUCGGGGGGAUGACGGUACUUGAAGAAUAAGCACCGGCUAACUACAUGCCAGCAGCCGCGGUAAUACGUAGGGUGCAAGCGUUAAUCGGGAUUACCGGGCGUAAAGCGUGCGCAGGCGGUUAUGCAAGACAGAGGUGAAAUCCCCGGGCUCAACCUGGGAACUGCCCUUGUGACUGCAUAGCUAGAGUGCGGUAGAGGGGGGUGGAAUUCCGCGUGUAGCAGUGAAAUGCGUAGAUAUGCGAAGGAACACCGAUGGCGAAGGCGAUCCCCUGGACCUGUACUGACGCUCAGGCACGAAAGCGUGGGUAGCAAACA
rnacentral:rRNA from 1 species